rnacentral:misc_RNA from 1 species
GAUGAAGAACGCAGCGAAAUGCGAUAAGUAAUGUGAAUUGCAGAAUUCAGUGAAUCAUCGAAUCUUUGAACGCACAUUGCGCCCCCUGGUAUUCCGGGGGGCAUGCCUGUUCGAGCGUCAUUUCACCACUCAAGCCUCGCUUGGUAUUGGGCAACGCGGUCCGCCGCGUGCCUCAAAUCGACCGGCUGGGUCUUCUGUCCCCUAAGCGUUGUGGAAACUUUCGCUAAAGGGUGUUCGGGAGGCUACGCCGUAAAACAACCCCAUUUCUAAGGUUGACCUCGGAUCAGGUAGGGAUACCAGCUGAACUUAAGCAUAUCAAUAAGCGGAGGA